UAUUUGGUCGGAACCGACACAAUAUUUUUUCAAGCUGAGAAAGAAAAAAAUCAUUAACAGAAGAGGCUUCAGUUUGAAUCUUUUUCUUCAUCAGAUCCAAAGAAUCCAUUAUCAAAUUACGGGCCAUCGUCUGUUGGAUUUGUAAUCUACCUUUUUAAUAUCUUUCACAUGAGAAGCCCAAAGAUGUAAAUGGAAGAUUUCAUCACAAAGUCGGCCAUAACUCCAGAUUAAAAGAAUUCUUCGAAUGGAGCUAACCAUUGCAGAUAAUUACUGUUUCCAAGCUGAGGAGUUCUUCGACUUCAAGUCAGCGAUGUAGGUUUGUUUAUCGGAUAUGAUGGGCUAACUAAUCAGUUCACCUAAUCUCCAUCAAUCCGGUGUGUCAGAAGAAAAGUAAGAGACUUCAAUAUAGUUUAGGAAAUGCAUAUAGGAGCUGCAAAAUGGAUUAUAUGAAGAGUAUGUCACAACUAAUAUAAGACAAUGUACAAUUUGAAAGAUAAGUAACAAUUAGAUUCUUAUAAUUUAUCAAUAUUUGUCAAUGUUUAAACAUUUUGAUUGUUGAAGAAUGCUUUACUUGUCAUGUUAGUUGAAAUUAUAAAACUAAGUGCUUAGUUUAUAUCAAGUGCUAUAUGUUGAAACAAUCCCAACUAAAUGAAUCAAAUAAAGAAUGGAUCGGAAAGAGAGAAAGUAUUUUUUUUCUAUACAUGACUGGUAAUACGUACUGUUAUAUGUAGCUAAUUGCCAAUAAUUUCCGCAGGUCUAACAAAAGUCAUUUCUGCAAUAUGGAACUACGUUUAAGACUAUUCAAGGAACAUUAGUUUCAGGAAUGCAAGAUCUUCACUUUUACCCUCCAAGAAGUCUUGUACGGACACACCUCUUUGAGGAAGACAAAGGUAGAAGCCAUUGCUAUGAACUAAAGAAUGAUGGCUUUCACCUUCGGAAAAAAUUGGGAUAACGCUAUCGAAAAGAGGUGACUAGGUUAAAGAAAGAGGUUGAUGAGCAGUACAUGAAGAUUCGAAGCUUCGCACACCAUGAUUUUCAGAUACAAUAAAUGCGUUCGGAGCUGAAAAACAAUGGUGAAGAGAUUGCACAUCUGAAGGAGUUAGUGGUAGGUCUUGUGGGCCGAAGGAUUUUUCGGCCUUGAUAUAUUUAUGUUUUGUUUUGUAAGGCUUAUCAAUCUAUGUGUUGUUUUGUAAGUCUUAUCAUUCUAUGUUUUGCAUGACUUAUUUAUGUUUUAUAAGAUAUAGUCUUCACCCCACUAAUUGCUUCUUCACAUAAGCUUCCAAACAGUACGACUCUUUUCUAAAACUCACCAAGCUUGUCCUCAAUUUUAACCAUUCAUUCUAUCAUAUUUUUGCUCAAGUUAUUUACGAGAUCCACCAAGUCAGCUGAAAGGUUGAU